rnacentral:lncRNA from 1 species
ACCAUCACGGUGACUUACAAGCAACUCACUGCACUUAGGCACUGGACUACCUAAAUUUUUAAUUCAGUGACGUAAGGCUGCUGGAUGUAGUCAAGUACUUGACUUGUCGGUGCGUGUGUCAAGAUGGGAUUGAUCACUUCAGUUUAGGAGCUGUGUAUAGUCAUAUUUUAAUUUAGCAAAACCUUGGCCAGGGUAGUCUUUGUGAGGAGUCACAGGACUGUUUGAGUUGAGCACGAUUCGAAUGAUCUAAUCAGGGUUGACAGUUUAACCCUGAGUCAUCCUAAACACAGAGGUCAAAAGGAUGAAUUAUACAGUAACCAUAUUCAUGUAGGUU